UUUCCUCUCAGAGACCUAACUAGUAUUGUCCAAAACGACCUUCUCACGGGGUGUUUUGUUGCAACCGACACACACACUGCAUGGACUUGGCGGCGAGGCUCUCGAUACGGUCAAAGAGGGGCGGUUUGCACGCAGGUACACGGCACAUUUCCGCCAAGCUGCGUUUCCUCGGCAGGGCAGCGGCCCCUCCGAGCCAGCCCCACGCAUUUUUCCACCUCCCGCACUCCAUCGUGCGAGGCUGGGGCGGCCAGUGCUGCCGCCGGAGCCCCUCGCCCUCCUCCGCCGGCGCACAGCCGAGGGGGAAUUCGCAGCGCUGCCUGGAAGUAGGGCUUGAGGUCCCCGGUCUGCCGAGGAAGAGGAGAAGGAGAGAUGCGCCCAAGGCAGGCAGUAACUCAGCACCAGAAAGAUGACUGGCACCCCAGCACCCUACAUCCCGUUUUCUUUCCCCACCUGCUGAACAACUAACAGCAUACCCCUGUUUCCACCUAUAUUGUCUGCAUUCAGCCGGUGAUGGACUGGGCAGUGCUCAGAUGUGCUGUGAAGUUGGACUCAGUGGUCUUAAGGGUCUUUUCCAGCCUAAGUCUACUCUACUCUACUCUACUCUACUCUACUCUACUCUACUCCUGCUCUGCUCUGCUCUGCUCUGCUCUGCUCUAUCCUAUUCCAAGCAAGCCGUGGCAAUUCUGGUAUGUGUAUCACUAAACCAUUUCCAUGAAAGGUUAGCAUAAACUUAAUGCAAUAAAAAAGAAUAGCUUUGGCACUGACAUGUGUCCGUGCUCAGCACCAGCAUGUACCAACUGACACUGAGCCUACACCUGGAGAACAUGGUAAAAGGAGCCGCCUGUGCUCUUAAUUACACCGCUCCAACAUGAGAAAGAACUGUUUUGAAAACAUUUAAUAAAACUCCCUUUCAGAUCAACAAA